rnacentral:rRNA from 1 species
AAUGAACGUUGGCGGCGUGGAUUAGGCAUGCAAGUCGUACGAGAAUCGUAGCAAUACGAGGAAAGUGGCGGAAGGGAGAGGAUUACGUGGGAAUCUACCCUCAGAACUGGGAUAGCGGCGGGAAACUGCCGGUAAUACCAGAUAAUGUCUGUGGACCAAAGGUGUGAUUCCGUCUGGGGAUGAGCCCACGUCCUAUUAGCUAGUUGGCAGGGUAAUGGGCUACCAAGGCAAUGAUGGGUAGCGGGUGUGAGAGCAUGACCCGCCUCACUGGGACUGAGAACUGCCCAGACACCUACGGGUGGCUGCAGUCGAGAAUCUUCGGCAAUGAGCGCAAGCUUGACCGAGCGACGCCGCGUGCGGGAUGAAGGCCUUCGGGUUGUAAACCGCUGUCGUAGGGGAGCAAGAGAUGAGGGUACUCCCUCUGAUUUGAGCGAUCCUAGGAGGAAGGACGGGCUAAGUUCGUGCCAGCAGCCGCAGUAAAAC